UGCAAUUUUUGUUACUUUUUUAGUGUCAAGGGCUAUAUGGAUUCAACUGGACAUUACUGGAGAAUUCCAGCAUGGCACGCAUGAGCAAAGCUAGCGUCGCUUAGGCUGAAC